rnacentral:rRNA from 1 species
UACAGAGGGGGCAAGCGUUGUUCGGAAUUACUGGGCGUAAAGGGCGCGUAGGCGGCCUGCUAAGUCGAACGUGAAAUCCCUGGGCUCAACCCAGGAACUGCGUCCGAUACUGGUUGGCUUGAAUCCGGGAGAGGGAUGUGGAAUUCCAGGUGUAGCGGUGAAAUGCGCAGAUAUCAGGAGGAACACCAAUGGCGAAGGCAGCUCGCUGGGACGGUACUGACGCUAAGGCGCGAAAGCGUGGGGAGCAAACAGG